rnacentral:rRNA from 1 species
UACGUAGGGGGCGAGCGUUUGUCCGGAUUUAUUGGGCGUAAAGAGCUCGUAGGCGGUUCGCUAAGUCGGAUGUGAAAACUCUGGGCUCAACCCAGAGCCUGCAUCCGAAACUGGCGGGCUAGAGUUCUGGAGGGGGUAGCGGAAUUCCUGGUGUAGCGGUGAAAUGCGCAGAUAUCAGGAGGAACACCGGUGGCGAAGGCGGCAUCCUGGACCGAGAUUGACGCUGAGGAGCGAAAGCGUGGGGAGCAAACAGG